rnacentral:lncRNA from 1 species
GCAAGGGUGUUAACUAAUCUUAAUUUGGUUCUGCUGAUUUCUAGAAAACUACUAUGAUUUAGAUCAAAUCUAUUUAUGUCCGCAGCAGCAAGGAAAACAUCAUGUUAUUAUCUUAGAAUAAAACUCCCUUUAAACUCCUUGCUUUCCCGGAAUGACAUUCCAGCUAACUAUGAGUUUCCCCAUUGACAUUUCACCUAUCCUGGUAUAGAAGAAGCAUGGAAAUAUCUAAUUUAUUUCAGGUUUGGCUUAGCA